GGGCAAUUGUCUUAAAACUGCAGCAAGAUGGUAAAGUUAUCUAUGUCCAUACCAGCAGCCACAUAGAUGGCACACGUUCCAAAAGAUGAGGUUGAUGAUCCUUUGACCAAUCAGAAGAAUAACAAAUUUUAUGGACAAGUGAAAGACUAUUAGAACCCAGCUCCGCUGGAGGCCAUUAUCCAAAGCAAAUUAAUGUAGAAACAGAAAACCGAAUACUUCAUGUUUUCACCUAUAAGUGGAAGCUAACCAUUGGGUACUCAUGGACAUAAAGGAGGCAACAAUUGAAAUUGGGGCCUACUGGAGGGGGGAAAGGAUACAAAGUUUGAAAAGCUACUGGGUACUAUACUCAGUACCUGGGUGAUGGGCUCAUUUGUACCCCAAAUCUCAGCAUCAUGCAAUAUACCCAGGUAACAAACCUGUGUCAGAGGCAUGUACCCUCUGACUCUAAAAUAAAAGUUAAAAUAAAGAAACCACAUGAGAAGAUCAGAGUUAAGAUAAAUGAGUGGUAUUAAAAUGAUGUUAGUCUGGGCUGUGUGGUUAUGUUGUCCAGCCCGCCACCACUAUACUGUAUGGAAGGUGGGUAUCUUCUCCAGCCUGCCACCACUAGACCAUUUCUGUAUGUAAGGCAGUUCUCCUGUCUAGCCCACUGCUGCUGGACUCUCUUUCCUGUAUGUAAGCUCUUAAUAAAAUCCCAUGUCUUGUUAAAAAAUGAUGUUAAUGAUAAUUUUGACUAUGGAACAAAUAACAUUAUGAUGGGGAAAAAAUAAAAUCCAGCUCUACAUGUUGAGAUGCAUGGGAGAA
rnacentral:lncRNA from 1 species